GUAACCCCGCUCCACUCUGUGAUGUAACCAACCAGCCACCCCGCUCCACGUAACCCCCGCUCCACUCUGUGAUGUAACCAACCAGCCACACACCCCGCUCCACUCAGUGAUGUAACCAACCAGCCACACGCCCCGCUCCACUCUGUGAUGUAACCAACCAGCCACACGCCCCCUCCACUCUGUGAUGUAACCAACCAGCCACCCCGCUCCACUCUGUGAUGUAACCAACCAGCCACACGCCCCGCUCCACUCUGUGAUGUAACCAACCAGCCACACGCCCCGCUCCACUCUGUGACGUAACCAACCAGCCACACGCCCCGCUCCACUCAGUGAUGUAACCAACCAGCCACACACCCCGCUCCACUCUGUGAUGUAACCAACCAGCCACACAACCCGCUCCACUCUGUGAUGUAACCAACCAGCCACACGCCCCGCUCCACUCUGUGAUGUAGACCUACCAACCACAGGUUCCUUACUCUGUCUACUGUUGCUGGUCCAGAACACUCUCUCUCUCUCAAUCUCUCAACUGGACCUUCAGUGUCCACAGUGCCAUGUUUAUAUCCUGUUAAUGUGCCAGUAUGGUCAUUGUAACAACAAUGAGACAUGGUAGUAAAUGUAUAGAUUCAAUCUGACUAAUGUCCUUUAUUGUUUUUAAUGUAAUUUAUUGUUCUUACCUCCAUCUCUAUCUCACUCUCUAUCACACACCUCUGUUCUAAUGUGGCAGUUACAAUCAGUUACUUCAAAAGCUUCCAACCCUGCCACAGGCUAAACCAAACAGCAGCCAAAUCAGUAGGCUUUGAAGGCAGUUUUUGUUGCAGCUGUACAGCAUAUUACUGAUCACUCCAGCAGUCCUAGGCUCCAACACUACAUAACACGGCAUCAGGAAGCUGUUACAGCUCUGUGUUUGGGUAGACAGCAGCCUGCUUGUUAUUACCCAUAAAGGAAAUGGUUCCCAUAGAUACAAAUACCAUAGACUGCAAUGCCUUUUUUGCCACCAGGUGGCAUGUAAACACAGCUGCAGUUCUGUUUGUCACCACCAGAUUGCAGAAGCGAUCCAUCAGUAUUUGGUGGCUAUCCAAGGCCCUGGUCCAUUUACUCAAGACAUUUAAUCUGAAAUAUAUGUUGUAAAUUUAUUACCAGCGAGUGAAUAGAGCUGGAACGGAAUAGCCUUUUCACAAAGCCCAUAUCACAAAUACCCAUCACAGAGGAAGCGGGAAAUUACAUGAAAAUAUUACCAUUAUACAAAUGGAAAUUGUGAUUGAAUAAUGUGUUUGAGAAGAUAAAUGGAAAGCACUUUGUUAGAAAAUGUGGUGCUAAAUAGCUUUUUAAUUUCAGAUGUGGGAUAAAACAAAACACAUUUCUACUCCAUUUUCACUGGCAAUUGAUUAGUGGUUCCACACCUGCAGAGAGAAGGGCUCUUAUCUUCUCAUUAUCAGUUAAUUAAUAUGCAUGCACACAUGUCUAUUAUCUUUCCUCUGCCAUUUAGCAGAAUUGAGACAUUGAUGUUGUAAUGGCCUUGGAUGACUUCUCUCUCUGUUGCUUUAAGGAGAAAUAAGACACAUGACUGACAUUGUCUUUAAUUGUUGUAAAAGAAAAUGAAAUGAAAAUAAAAUAAAAAGGAAAAACAAAUUCUUUACAUCAUAUUCAAUAUGACAUCACCAUUCCCCUCUGGGAGGUGUAUCUAUAAACACAGCAACUCUUAUUUGAUUGGCUGUAUUUAAAUUAGCAGCUAUUCUAUGGUACUGUAGCUUUACGAAACAAGCCAUAUGGUGCACUGUGUAUACCUAAGAAAGAGAUGUAUUGAAGAGUGAUAGGGAAA
ensembl:lncRNA